AGAGUUUGAUCCUGGCUCAGGACGAACGCUGGCGGCGUGCCUAACACAUGCAAGUCGAACGAGGUAGCAAUACCUAGUGGCGGACGGGUGAGUAACGCGUAGGGAACCUGCCCUUGAGUGGGGGAUACCCAGCCGAAAGGUUGGCUAAUACCGCAUACGCUGGUGAGCUGAAAUGCUCAUCAGGAAAGAUUUAUUGCUCA
rnacentral:rRNA from 1 species